GAGGCAGGAGAAUUGCUUGAACCCAGGAGGUGGAGGUUGCAGUGAGCCGAGAUCCCGCCACUGCACUCCAGCCUGGGUGACAGAGCGAGACUCCAUCUC
rnacentral:miRNA from 1 species